rnacentral:tRNA from 1 species
UGGCCGGUGGCGGGCGCGGCGACCACCACCGGAUAGGCGGCGGUGUCGGCAUCGACCACGAAACCGGCGGCGCUGUUGGAUUCCGCGCCCGCCACC